rnacentral:ncRNA from 1 species
CUGAUUAUUCGAUUAAAUACUUAUCGAUCUAGCCAUGAGCAUAUUGAAGAAAGCUCUACUGGGGUUGGAUAACUGAAUCCGUGUGUGUGGCAAAAUACGGGGGUGACUUGGUGAUUGAGGUUGAAAGGUCGAUCAAGAUCGAAUAUAGUUAGUUUUCUGCAAAAUCUAUUUAAGUAUAGCAUAUGUUGUUGAUGGCCUGAGAUAGAGUACUCAAUGUACUAGGGCGGAGCCAUUUCACCUUACUGCCUUGUAGUGGCGGAUUUAAGUACAACUCUCCUACUCAAAUUUUUUUGAAAAAAAAUAUUACUUUUAAAAAUUUUAAAAUUUUACACUUAAGCCCCCACUAAAAUAAAUAUAUUUUCUUAUAUGUUCCCACUAAGAUAAUUUGUUAAAAAAAAAUUUAGUGUACGCCUUUAUUGAAGUAAAAGGCUAGUUCCGCCACUGCUGCCCCGGGAAAACUUCGAAUAUAGGCCUAGAUCAUUUGUACAAACGAAUUUUUGGGUGUUAAGAUCCAACGUUGAGAGAGAAACAACUCAGAUCAUAUGCUGAGGUUGCUAAGCAAUUACUUAAUAGAAAAGGAAGUGAUAGAACGAUGCCAACCAGGAAGUGGGCUUGGAAGUGGGCAUUCUUUGAAGAAAGCAUAAUAGCUCCAUGGCAUGCAACGUGUAUCAGAGCUCAAGUGAUUUUCCGAAGCGACAUUAAAAUAGACGAUCAUUGAUUGCCUUUCUAGGGUUACUUGUCUAUUUAAUGGUGAAAUAGAAAACAAU